GGGCUGGAACUGUUAGAAAUGUUCAAGUGCAUGUGGGGAAGUAAAACUGUAACCAUGUGGCUUUGGGAAGUCAUAGCAUGCCCAGCCUAUUACUUGCUUCAGUAGCUGGGUGCAACUAGAUCAGCAUUCAUAAAAACAACAAGCUGGCUGAGAAACAAGGAUACUUGAAUUCCUACUUCUUGGAACCUAUGCAGGAACUUCUGUCAACCUACUACAAGAUCCACUUACCCCCAGCUGAGAUGGCAGCUGAGGGACAUCAUGUCAUCCAUGACUGACGUCAUGGCGUCUGAAAUGGAAGCGUUUAUGAAGCAAAGGUGUGGAAUUGAAUUCCUCCAUGCAGAAAAAAAUGGCACCCACUGACAUUCAUAGAUGCUUGCUGAACACUUAUGGAGACCAAACAGUGGAUGUGAGCACAGUGAAGCGGUGGAUGGUGCGUUUCAGCAGUGGGGACAGUGACAGUGGGUCACCUCCGCUGGUGCAAAUUUUUACAUGCACGGCAUGAAGCUCUCGUUCAUCCCUGGCAAAAAUGCACAGCUAAUGGUGGUGACUAUGUUGAAAAAUAGUGUUUUGUAGCUGAGAAUUUCUCUAUCAAGUAGUGUUAUUGUGCUCUUUGUAUCUGUUGUAGUUUCCAUGGAAAUAAACAGGAGGCGUUACUUUCAAAACGACCUAUGCAUGUUGAUUUAAUUUGGCAAUUAUUGUCUCUUUCCUUUGUGCCAAGCUAUUUUUCAUCUUCCAGAAAAGAGUCACUGAGAGUUUUACAUAACACUUCAAAGUAUUAAUUUUAAUCUAUGAGCUACAGUUUGUGAGUCUAGGGAAUAUACAACACUUUGGUAAGACUGUUUUAUAGGCAUGGCACUGGGAUGGCUGCAUUGCUUGCAACUGGCAGAGAAAUGUGAGCGCCUUCUGUAAGUUAUAAUCACUCAACACUUAUGGUUCUUUUGUUUUGCACUCAGUUUUUUCAGUAGUUGAUCUGGGCACUGUAUGGCACAGAUAACACAAGCACAGCUGCACUGGGUGAAGCUAGAGGUUUGCCUGGACCAGAAGCCUGUCUCCAGCCAUGGCCAGCAGCACAUAUUAAGGGCUGAGCACGUGAAGAGGACAAGCACGUGGUGAUUAUUCCCCAGGAUUUGCUUUCUGCCUCCAGCUGUUAGUGGCUUAGAGAUAUCUCAAACCAGAGUUGGCGCCUGCCAAACCAAGAGCUCUCAGAACAUCAAACGUGCAGAAAAGCACUUUCAUGUGUAUCAUUAGCAGGACAAAGUGUGUUUAUGAAAAGCUGCUAAAUGUCCAUUUUGAACUGGAUAGCUCUAAGAAGAACAACUACAAACGUUUCUUUAAAAAGGAUAAACGUGCAACCGGUGCAUCCAUUUCGGAGAGUUUUUGAAGGCUCUGUAUUUACUGUCAGGUGUCAGUGCUAAGAAAUACAAUUAAGGUCUGAGUAGUCCUAGAUCAUAAUGGUACGCCUUCUAGGUACCACCGCUUACCUUAUACCUGCCCCAGGGGACCUGGAAGGUGGCCAGAGUCAUUGACAGGUUCAUAAAGUGUAGGUGCACCUUCUUAAGUCUCAGAAAUGGUUUCAAAAAAAAAAAAAAAAAGGGAAAUAAGUGUGGUGUUUCCAUUGUGCUUCAGAAAAACAAACCCUUCAGGAAGAAAAAAAAAUGGAAACACAUGAAACACAAAUUGGAUACACUCGAAGUUAAUGAAAGGAAAAUCUUUUUCCAUUUUAGUUAAUGUCUUAAAUUAGAAUUUUGGUAAAGAAGCUGGAAAACAGAUGGAGAGGAUAUAUUUUUCUAAAAUAAUUUGUUAGUGAAUUUGAAGCUCAUGAAUGAGAAUAACUAUUAAUAGCACUGGCUAGAGCAACACUGCGUGGACUGCAGCUGUGUUGGUUUCUCCACUGUAUGAGAGAUGCUCCAAAAGUAAUGCCUCCUAUUUUAUGAUGUUGACCCAUGAUGUCAGAGGUGGAUGUUGCUGGGAUAGAGGUAGAGGUUGAAUCUUCCCACCAAUAUUCCAUUGCAUUUUGUUGCCAAAUCACUGGCAAAAAUGCAUAAUAGCGGUGACUAUGUUGACAAAUAGUUUUUUCUAGCUGAGAAUUCACUCUAUCAAAUAGUGUUAUUGUGCUCUUCACACUUGUAGCAGUUCCCAUGGAAAUAAACAGGAGACAUGACUUUUGGAGUGACCCACACAGUUCUCCCACUGCACUGCAGGAACCUGUGACCCACAGCUGCAUCUUGCACGUCCUGCUGGUCUAAUUAUACCAGAAAUCCAUUCCUCCAGACUUUCCCCAGUAUCCUCACUGUAUUACACCUUUUUGUCCUGUUUCUUCAUUCUCACUUGGUUACCAGCACAAUCCAUUUCCAACUGUCUCUAUGGAAACCUUUUAUUCCAUCUUGCCCAACCUGAUGCAUCUUGCCUUAAAAACUUUAUGCUGUCUUCAUGUUCUGGCCUUCUCAGCGUUUCCCCACCUAUAUACACACACUUUACCCAGGGGCUGCUCAUUAUAUCAUAUUUUCAUACCUUCCACCGUUCCUUCUACUGUCUUUGGAAAAACUCUCACCAAGUACAUUUCCAAUUUACACUAACAAAAAGUGAAAAAGAAAGGUUAUACAUGCUUGCCUUGAGGUUGCCCAUCAAGUACUGUAUUUCUUUUUCUGCAAAAAAAGUAUUUAUCUUUCCAUUCCACAUCUUGACAUGUAGUUCCUCCUCUGUUUUUAUCAACCAUCUUGUUUGCAUAGCUGCUCCUCAGGAUAUUUGUCACGGCUGGCUUACAGCACACUCUGCUGAUUUACAGCAGCAAUUAAUAAUUUCAUAUCUGUUGGGAGGGGAUGGAUCUCUAUCUUACAGAGAUGAGUAGCAAAUGAUACUCACAAGUCUGAAAAAUGCUGAUGAGCAUUUUUUUCAUCCAAAUCAAAACACAGAGUUCAUGCCCUGGUGACAAACCGGAGAGGAAGAUGUUGUGCAAGGAUGGAGGGCAUCAGAGAGUGACUUUCAAGUCCCAUCUAGGAGUGGGACUGAUGUUUCUGCCCUGACUCAGUGUUAUCUGUCCUUCUACCUGCUGGGCAAGAUCCUCCACUCGUGUGAGCCUGGUUGGCUCCACUGGUACCCUGUGCUGGAACUGGAUAGCCCUGCUCAAGCUCAAAUACUGUCAGUGCUGCAGGUCAGCAGCCAUGAGCAAAGUUGUGCAAUUAAAGUUGCAGAGCACCAGCCCACACUCUAAACAGCCCUAUCUGAUUCCUGACUUUAUGAGCAACCGCAUGGACACAUGCUAUUGAUUGGAAGGGAAAAGAAAGUUAAAAAAAAGACCGUGUUUGGUCCUCUUAGUAAAAUCUUUCUGGGCCUGAAUUUUGGUCUCUGCCUCUUUUUGCUAACUCACAAAAGCAGACUUAAGUCAGGAGGAGCUGCUAGCUUUGUGUGCAGAUAUGAAACAGCAGCAGAAUGAAAGUUUGUGCAAAGACAAAGGAGCAAGAGACCUUCUUUCACUGUGGCCUUUUAUUGCACUUCUGGGUAUUCACUCAGCUUAGAGACAGCACUGAUUGUCCCAGGCAGUGGACUGUGAAAAGUCUGUAAGUGCAAAAAAGGUACACAAACUCCAUCGAUAAUAAUAAUAAUAAUCUUAUUUAGUAGAUGCCCACAAAUUGUUCCUGUCCCAAGUACUGUUUAUUCCAAUGUACCUGAGUGUUCACUGGUAACAGUACAGCUGGACUUCUUAAUGCUUCCAUAGCUGUCUUUAUCUUGACUUUGUCAGGCCCUGUCUUCACAGCUGAGCACAUUUUUUACCUGUCCCUAGGCUUCAUGUCUUUCCUUUCCCACUUCGCUAAUCCACCACGCUCUCUUCUUCCAACACACUAAAUCGAGGUUAGUAAGAGCAGUAACAAGAACACAACGGUGCCCCUACUGCUUAAUCUCCAAGUUCAGGCUAGUUUAUAGGUGCCUAUGUUUUUAGGAGAGGGAAUGUCUUGCAGAUGAGGACUGCCUUUGUUUUUUCUACUGUCCAGAGCUGAGCGUGCUGUCAGUGCUGACCUGAAACAUGUAACACUUGUGUUAAUAUUUUCCUAAGUGUUCCUAGGUAUAAACUUGAGACUACUGAAGGGACAGGCAAAAGAGGAAGAGGGCAAAACUCCCUAGGUUUCAUUUAAUGUUUUUAGUCAUUUGAACUGACCGUAAGCCUGGGGUACCUUGGAUAAGGCCUGAAAUGUUAGCUUUGUACAUACAUAUAGAUCCCUUUAAUAACCUGGAUGUACACAAUUGCCUUUCAACCUAGAGAAUUAUAUAACACUUCACAUGGUUUUGCAAGGAGUGUACCAGGGAGUAUUUGAAAGGAUCUGAGCCAAGAAGCUGUACAGACAGCAAGGCGUCUGUGUUGCCACUACAAAGUGGAUGUUAAUUACCUAAAACAAUACAUGUAAUAGGCGAAGAGAAAAAUGCUUUGCAUUGCCUUGCCAUACCCACUCAUCUAGUGCAUCUCUAACUGCACAGUUAUUUAGCCUGGAGGGAUCAUAAUUAGCUGCUUCAUAAAUUAAUAAGGGAAAGGAGGAGGGAAGGGGGAAAACUACCAGUGCAAGAAUGGUGGGAAACUUUAGAUAGGAUGUUUCUCGAAGAAUGUUGUUAGCACGCAUAAUUACUUCAUUAAAUAAAGACACAUACAAAUGCACAAGGAUUCUCCAUCCCUCGACAGAGAUGAGUUGUUCAAUGGGCACUGCAUGGCUCCUAGCUGAAGGACACCCUGGAGGUGCCAGGCAAACGUGAGGUGAUUGCCACGCUGUGCCAGUGUGCUGAAAGUCUUCCAGAGAACACGGUAAAGGGAUGGGGUCAAGUGUGACUUGUGACCCCCUCUAACACUGUUCAUCCGAGGUACUCAAAUGGUGUGAGCACCAGUUAGUGAAGUCGUGCAUGGCUCAUCAUAAGCAAGGUGAAGACGUGUAUCACAUGUCCACAGUGGAGAAACUGAGGCUAACAGGGACACGUCUUGCUCUAUGUCACUCGGCAGGUCAGGGUCAGGCCAGCAGCAUUAAGCACCACUGCCAAACUGACUAUGUAUAAUGAGCCUAUUGGAAUUCCAUUUACAUUAGUUAAUUACAAGUUCAUAACCAGAAUGGGUUUUAUUUCCUCUAUUAUGCAAAGAAUUUACCAGGUGGGAGAAGUAUCUACCCAGUUUACAACCAGACACUAGACCCAUUUAGCUAAUUAGCUGGAUCCAGGCUGGCAAUUGGAUGCAUUCAUACAUCUUCUCCAUUACCAUAGUCUGUUUGUGAAUCAAAUUGUCACACAAGACAGCUAAAAUAUCUCCAAAAAUACAGGAAGGGGACACAUGUUCUGGCGGACCAGAGACACUGCACUGUGUUCCUCUCUGUGAAUUCUGUUGUACAGACUUCCACACUUUUAAUCUGUUUACCCACAGCAACUCAUCUUGGAUCCAGAGCCUGCCUUUAUGGGCUGUUUCUGCAUACUUUUUUUUUCCUUAAAAGCCAGGCUUCUUGAAUCGCAGGGAGGUGAGGGAUGUGACUUGACUGUAUUCCAACAGCAAGUCUCAAUGAUUCAAAGUCAGAAGUGGAAUUCAGCUCCCAGGCUUCAAGGAAAACUGGGCCAAAAGGAAACUCUGCUUUUCCCAUUCUACUUUGGCCAGCAAGCUAAAAGUUAGGCAAAUAGGAAGCAUGUCCCACCCUAACAACAUGGAGAGCAAGCUUUUUAAAACUGCAGCUGGCUCUUUUUGUUGCUCCCUGCAUAUUUCAGAAAAUUUCUGGAAGUCUUACUUGGCAUGACCAAAUUACCACGCCUGACUCUGCCAGCUCCCUGACUGGGUCUUCUCUAUCCCUCGACCAUGGAGGAGAAAACCUUUCCACCAGAAACGGAGCUGGCAACAACAAGCAUUCUCCCUCUCUCCACUUUUCUCAUUAUAAAUUUCCAUGGCACAAUAAAGCAUUUUCCAACCAA